rnacentral:misc_RNA from 1 species
CAGAGUUCGUGCCCUUACGGGGUAGAUCUCCCACCCUAUGUUAUUAUCACUUUGUUGCUUUGGCGGGCCGUCAGGCCUCGGCAUGGCUACCGGCUCCGGCUGGGGAGCGCCCGCCAGAGGAUCUCCCAAACCUGAUUAUUAGUGUCGUCUGAGUACUAUACAAUAGUUA